AGUAAUUAUACCUAGAGAGGAAAUUCGCACUACGAAAAGCGGUCCCGACAUCAAUGUGUAUGAGAUACAUUUACGUAAUGAUUUACGUAGAGCUUCUACCAAUACACUCACAUUUGAGAUUUCUGUCAAAAUAUUUCUUGACGUUGUUCAUCGAAACAGUCUUAUGCGUUGAAUCUGCAGAGCAAUUCGUUGAAGAAUUUUUU